rnacentral:lncRNA from 1 species
AUUAUUCUAUAGUAUGAUGUUAUUGGUUUCAUUCAACUAAUCCUUAGUUGAUGUUCAUUGAAUUCCAAAUUACCCUGAAAUGUAUUCAAACCAAACUAACUUUGGUGCGGACUUGUACUCUAAAUACUGAGAUAAACAACCCUAUUAUUAGGGGUAACUUACGCUUAGCGUUGAAAUGUUUGUGCACAAUACAUUGUACGAAGGGCUGAUCCCCCUAAGUACGAGGAGUCCCUAUAGUCUUAUGACUGUU